CCGGGCGUGGUGGCGCGCGCCUGAGGUCCCAGCUACUCCAGAGGCUGAGGCGGAGGCUACAGUGAACCCUGAUCCUACCACUGCACUCCAGCCUGGGCGACGGAGCCAGACCCUGUCUCCAACUCACCAGGCAAACGGUGAAGACACACCCAGGCGCGUCCCCUAAGAGGGACGCCGGCGUCAGGGGCCCUGGCCCUCCCCAGCGCAGACCCGCCGGGGCCCAGCGCCGCGCCGGGGCCCACCACCGGCGGCCGUGAGGGUUUCCACCCGAAUCUCCCCGGCGAGCUGGGCGCCUCCACUACGGGUCCGCGACGCAGUCCACCCACUGCGGGCCCGAGAGAGGACCCGUGCUCGUCAUUUUUAUUCGAGGCGGGGCUAUCUGGGGACCCCGCCCGGAGCGGAGGCCCCUCGCGGCCCCAGCCUGUUUCCAGGGAAUUCAGGGCCACACGCCGCUCAAAGAACCUCAGCGCCCCAGUCCGCGAAAUCCCGCAGCCGCUACGAAACACCGCCAACUUCAGAGGUCCCACACCCUCCAUCCCUUUUGUAAGGAACUGGGUACCCCGCCCUCAACGAGAUCCCGCGGGAACUGCAUAUGGCGCGAGAGCAGAAACACCUUACUUUUCCCUGCGGCAAACGCCCAGUUCCCUUUCACGUGACGAAGAGUGCCCCGUCCCCCAGAGGCGUGGCCGCCUCGCACGUAAGCACGUACGCACGUAAGCACGUAAGCACGUACGCACGCACGUCUCUCGCUUUGGCAUACUUAAGGCCUCAGUUCUCGCCCCGCUUGGCAGUUCUCUUAAGGUCGGCAGCGGCAGCGGCAGCGAGGUCGGCAGCGGCAGCGAGGUCGGCAGCGGCAGCGAGGUCGGCAGCGGCAGCGAGGUCGGCAGCGGCAGCGAGGUCGGCAGCGGCAGCGAGGUCGGCAGCGGCAGCGAGGUCGGCAGCGGCAGCGAGGUCCGCUGUGCUCUUCCGCGGACUCUGAAUCAUGGCGACCACGGCCACGAUGGCGACCUCGGGCUCGGCGCGAAAGCGGCUGCUCAAAGAGGAAGACAUGACUAAAGUGGAAUUCGAGACCAGCGAGGAGGUGGAUGUGACCCCCACGUUCGACACCAUGGGCCUGCGGGAGGACCUGCUGCGGGGCAUCUACGCUUACGGUUUUGAAAAACCAUCAGCAAUCCAGCAACGAGCAAUCAAGCAGAUCAUCAAAGGGAGAGAUGUCAUCGCACAGUCUCAGUCCGGCACAGGAAAAACAGCCACCUUCAGUAUCUCAGUCCUCCAGUGUUUGGAUAUUCAGGUUCGUGAAACUCAAGCUUUGAUCUUGGCUCCCACAAGAGAGUUGGCUGUGCAGAUCCAGAAGGGGCUGCUUGCUCUCGGUGACUACAUGAAUGUCCAGUGCCAUGCCUGCAUUGGAGGCACCAAUGUUGGCGAGGACAUCAGGAAGCUGGAUUAUGGACAGCAUGUUGUCGCGGGCACUCCAGGGCGUGUUUUUGAUAUGAUUCGUCGCAGAAGCCUAAGGACACGUGCUAUCAAAAUGUUGGUUUUGGAUGAAGCUGAUGAAAUGUUGAAUAAAGGUUUCAAAGAGCAGAUUUACGAUGUAUACAGGUACCUGCCUCCAGCCACACAGGUGGUUCUCAUCAGUGCCACGCUGCCACAUGAGAUUCUGGAGAUGACCAACAAGUUCAUGACCGACCCAAUCCGCAUCUUGGUGAAACGUGAUGAAUUGACUCUGGAAGGCAUCAAGCAAUUUUUCGUGGCAGUGGAGAGGGAAGAGUGGAAAUUUGACACUCUGUGUGACCUCUACGACACACUGACCAUCACUCAGGCGGUCAUCUUCUGCAACACCAAAAGAAAGGUGGACUGGCUGACGGAGAAAAUGAGGGAAGCCAACUUCACCGUAUCCUCAAUGCAUGGAGACAUGCCCCAGAAAGAGCGGGAGUCCAUCAUGAAGGAGUUCCGGUCGGGCGCCAGCCGAGUGCUUAUUUCUACAGAUGUCUGGGCCAGGGGGUUGGAUGUCCCUCAGGUGUCCCUCAUCAUUAACUACGAUCUCCCCAAUAACAGAGAAUUGUACAUACACAGAAUUGGGAGAUCAGGUCGAUACGGCCGGAAGGGUGUGGCCAUUAACUUUGUAAAGAAUGACGACAUCCGCAUCCUCAGAGAUAUCGAGCAGUACUAUUCCACUCAGAUUGAUGAGAUGCCGAUGAACGUUGCUGAUCUUAUCUGAAGCAGCAGAUCAGUUGGAUGAGGGAGACUGUUCACCUGCUGUGUACUCCUGUUUGGAAGUAUUUGGAUCCAGAUUCUACUUGAUGGGGUUUAUAUGGACUUUCUUCUCAUAAAUGGCCUCCCGUCUCCCUUCCUUUGAAGAGGAUAUGGGGAUUCUGCUCCCUUUUCUUAUUUACAUAUUGUCUGUCUCACCUCAAACUAAAAGAAAAGCAAGCUAAACCCAAAGGAAGCAGAAGAAAGGAAAUAAUAAAAAUGAGAGUAGAAAUAAAUGAAUAGAAAAAUAAUAGAGAAAAUCAAUAAAACCAACGGUUCAUUCUUUGAAAAGAUCAACAAAAUUGACACAUCUUUAGCAAGUCUAAGGAAAAAUAUGUUCAAAUAACUAAAAUCAAGAAUGAAAGAGGUGAUGGCACAGCUGACUGUACAGAAUACAAAGUAUCAGUGCCAUGGAUUGUUUCCCAACAGAUGAACCUUGAUAAAAUGGAGAAAUUCCUAGGACAAACAGAUUAAAUCAGUAAUCAAACUUUCAACAAAGGAAAGCCAAGGCUUGUGAAUCCUGCUAAACUUUUACAGAAUUAUCACCAUCACAAUUUUUUUUUUUUUUUUUUUUUUUUUGACGCAGAGUCUCACACUGUUGCCUGGGCUGGUGUGCAGUGGCACAAUCUUGGCUUGCUGCAACCUCCGCCUCCUGGGUUCAAGUGAUUCCCUUGCCUCAGCCUCCCAGUAGCUAGGAUUACAGGUGCCUGCCACCACAUCCGGUUAAUUUUUUGUAUUUUUAGUAGAGACGGCGUUUUACUGGGUUGGCCGGGCUGAUCUCAAACUCCUGAUCUUGUGAUCUGCCCCCGUCAGAUUCCCAAAGUGCUGGAUCACGAAAUCUUUCAAAAAAUAUAAGGCAGAACAUUUCCCAACUCACCCUGAGGCCAGCAUUACCUGACACCAAAACAAAGCUACCACAAGAAAAAACUAGAUCAAUGUCAUAUGAACGUAGAUGUAAAAAUCCUCAAAAAACUGGCAAAACAAAUCCAGCAACAUAUAAAAAGGAUUGUACACUGACAAAGUGGGAUUUAUCGCAGGAAUGGAAAGUUGGUUUAAUAUCCAAAAAUCUGUCAAUGUAAUACACCCUAUCAAUAGAAUAAAGGACAAAGUCCACAUGAUGAUUUACAGAUGCAGAAAAAGCAUUGGACAAAAUCCAGCACCUUUUCAAGAUAGAAAAUAAGAAUGGAAGGGGGCUGCUUCAACCUGAUAAACAGCAUCGAUGAAACACCACAGCAUUACCCGCUAAGGUUGGGAACAAAACAAGAAUGCUCUUGCCACGUCUAUUCCAACAUUGUACUGGAAGUUACGAGCCAGGACAAUUAAGCAAGAAAAGAAAGAAGGCAUCCAGAUCGGAAAGGAAGCAUCAAAACUCUCUAGUCACAGAUGACAUGAUUUAUACCUAGAAAAUCUUAAGGAAUUGACACAUUUAAAAAAUCACCUAUCAGAACUUAUAAAUGAGGUCAGCAAGGUUGCAGAAUAUAUGUUCAACAUAGGAAAGCCAGUGUUUCUGUACACUAGCAGUCUGAACAACCUGAAAAUGAAAUUAAGAAAAUAAUUCCAUUUACAAUUGCAUCAAAAAGAGUGAAAUAUGUAGGAAUAAAUUUAACAAAAGAAGGGCUAUACUUGUUCACCGAAAACUACAAAUAGCUUGUUGAAAGGCAUUGCAAACCUAAAUAUAUAAAUGUCCCAGGUUCAUGGAUUGGAAGAUAACUUUCCCAAACUGACUGAUAGAGUUAGUUAGGCUUUGUGUCUCCACCCAGAUCUCAUCUUGAAUUGUAAUCCCCCUAAUCCCCACAUGUCAAGGGACAGACAAGGUGGAGGUAAUUGAAUCAUGGGAGCAGUUCCCCCCAUGCUAUUCUUGUGAUAGUGAGUUCUCACAAGAUCUGAUGGUUUUAUAAGGGGCUCUUCCCACUUCACUUGGCACUUCUUGCCACCUUGGGAAAAAGGUUCCUGCUUCGUCUUCGCCUUCCACCAUGAUUGUAAGUUUCCUGAGGUCUCCCCAGCCACACUGAACUGUGAGUCAAUUAAACUUCUUUCCUUUUUAAAGCA